GUCCACGCUGUAAACGAUGACGACUAGGUGUGGGGUGGUUCAGUCCAUUCCGUGCCGCAGCUAACGCAUUAAGUCGUCCGCCUGGGGAGUACGGCCGCAAGGUUGAAACUCAAAGGAAUUGACGGGGGCCCGCACAAGCGGUGGAGCAUGUGGUUCAAUUCGAUGCAGAGCGAAGAACCUUACCUGGGCUUGACAUGUAGGAAGUAGAAACCCGAAAGGGGGACGACCUGUUAAGUCAGGAGCCUACACAGGUGCUGCAUGGCUGUCGU
rnacentral:rRNA from 1 species